GACGAACGCUGGCGGCGUGCUUAACACAUGCAAGUCGAACGGAAAGGCCCUGCUUUUGUGGGGUGCUCGAGUGGCGAACGGGUGAGUAACACGUGAGUAACCUGCCCUUGACUUUGGGAUAACUUCAGGAAACUGGGGCUAAUACCGGAUAGGAGCUCCUGCUGCAUGGUGGGGGUUGGAAAGUUUCGGCGGUUGGGGAUGGACUCGCGGCUUAUCAGCUUGUUGGUGGGGUGGUGGCUUACCAAGGCUUUGACGGGUAGCCGGCCGGAGAGGGUGACCGGCCACAUGGGGACUGAGAUCCGCCCCAGACUCCUACGGGAGGCAGCAGGGGGGAAUAUUGCACAAUGGGCGGAAGCCUGAUGCAGCAACGCCGCGUGCGGGAUGACGGCCUUCGGUUUUUAAACCGCUUUCGCCUGUGACGAAGCGUGAGUGACGGUAAUGGGUAAAGAAGCACCGGCUAACUACGUG
rnacentral:rRNA from 1 species